CUGAGGCUUGCUGGAUCUCUUGAGCUUAGAAGUUCUGAGCUGCAGUGGGCUGUAUGAACCAGGUGUCCAUUUUAAGUUUGCCUUAAUAUGCCUCUGACAUGCAGAACGUUUACAUCAGUGAGUUUGUGGAUCUGUACGUACUGUGGAAAUGCCCUUCAAGCAACAGGAUCAUCGGGGCCAAGGACCACGCGUCCAUCCAGCUGAACGUGACCGAGGCUGACAAGGUUACAGGAAGUUUGAAUGGCCAGUUUUUAAACUCAUGCAAUUUAACAUAGAAUGGGGGAAUCUGAUGACUCUAUUCUCUGGCUGGCAAAAAAAUGAUGAUAUUGUUUCAAAGAACUUUUAAUUGAAGAAAUCUUGUGGAAAAUGUCUUAAUAAAUCAGAAAACAAAAAA